GAUGAACGCUGGCGGCGUGCCUAAUACAUGCAAGUCGAGCGAACAGACGAGGAGCUUGCUCCUCUGACGUUAGCGGCGGACGGGUGAGUAACACGUGGAUAACCUACUUCUAAUACUGGGAUAACUUCGGGAAACCGGAGCUAAUAAUGGAUAAUAUAUUCAACCGCAUGGUUCAAUAGUGAAAGACGCUUUUCCUGUCACUUAUAGAUGGAUCCGCGCCGCAUUAGCUAGUUGGUAAGGUAACGGCUUACCAAGGCAACGAUGCGUAGCCGACCUGAGAGGAUGAUCGGCCACACUGGAACUGAGACACGGUCCAGACUCCUACGGGAGGCAGCAGUGGGGAAUCUUCGGCAAUGGGCGAAAGCCUGACGGAGCAACGCCGCGUGAGUGAUGAAGGUCUUCGGAUCGUAAAACUCUGUUAUUAGGGAAGAACAAAUGUGUAAGUAACUAUGCACGUCUUGACGGUACCUAAUCAGAAAGCCACGGCUAACUACGUG
rnacentral:rRNA from 1 species